UCAACAGCCAGGCACAGUAUGGCUGAAUGGUUAAGAAGGUUAAUCCACAACUACAAGGGUCCUAAUCGUGAGUUCAAUCCCACUGCAUGCAGGGCCACUUUUAAGCUAAUUAGAUUUAUUCAAACUGUGCCCCAUACACAUGCUUGUGCAGUAGAUACACUGAUGAAUAUUUAGAAUAUUGUGGCUAAUGGUGGAGCAUCAUGCCCUCAACGCUUUUGACUGGGAAUGACUUACUACACAAAGCAUAAAGCAUCAAUCUUCUGCUUUUGUAGAAGACAGAGCCCCACUGACAGUUCUCUUAUUGGUCCCCACACUUCCUAACACUGGCCCUGACUGCAUGACAUUUUGGGCAAAAGUAUUUUUAAUAACCUUUGGGUUAUCACAUAUCUUGAGGGUAAAAUUGGGUGGUGGAAACUGUGUAGAAAUCAGUUAGAGCUGGCAGAAAUGUUAGCAUGCCGGGCGAAAUGCUUAACGGUAUUUCGUCUGCUGCUACGUUCUGAAUUCAAAUCCUGCCGAGGUCGACUUUGCCUUUCAUCCUUUCGGGGUCGAUAAAUUAAGUACCAGUUACGCACUGGGGUCGAUAUAAUCGACUUAAUCCCUUUGUCUGUCCUUGUUUGUCCCCUCUAUGUUUAGCCCCUUGUGGGCAAUAAAGAAAUAAGAAAUCUGUUAGAUGAACUGUACCAGUAAUUCAAAAUUGCAACCUAGUCAUGCAGUACCAUCAUGCUAAUAGUACCUGAGAAUUACAUUAGCCCUUUUGAUACCAAUCCAGUUGAAACCACCUCUGGCUCUGUAGUACAAAUGUCUUGUUUUCAAAUGUUCUGAAUUAAAAUCUUCCACCAAACCUUAGUCACAAUUUAUGUUCCUAACACUAGCAGAAUGACAACUAAGUCAUUUUACUAAAUUCUUUGUUUUAUUUAAAAUUAAUUGAAAGAAACACCAAACAUCUCAACAGAAAUAUGGUAACAAAAGGGUUAAGGAUACAUGAGUCUAUGGAAUACUCAGGUAUUUAUUUGCUAAUUCCACGAGUAAGUAAUUGAAGUGAUCAGGCAACUGAAUCCUCAUCACUGAAACAGAAAAAUCUUUCUCUCUCUCUAUCUAUCUACAUAGAACCAUAUGGUUGAGAAGCAAUAUAUUACCACACAGUCACCCCUACACCUGUAUGUGUGUGUGUAUGGGGAGGUGUAUAUGUUAUUUAUGAUUUCACUUAAGACUAGCAAUACUAAUAACCAGUUGUUAGAACUCUGUAUACAUAUGCCUUAGAGCAGUGCUUUUCAAACUUUUUGCUGGAGCGGAACCCCAAGGAAACAUUCCACUGGCUCGAGGAACCCCUGUGCAGUAAUUUAAUAGUCUUAUGCACACAUAUCUGCACAGGAGAAUUAAAAAUUACUGCUGAUUUUAGCAGUUUUGUAACUUCUUGCGGAACCCCUGGACUGUACUGGUGGAACUCUAAGGUUCCACGGAACACUGGUUGAAAACCACUGCCUUAGAGUAAAGUGUUGACUAAUUAAAGGAUAGAGAACCCUGCACCUAGAAAGUAUCUAACAAUCAGAUGCUACAUCCUCCCUCCCUUCUUGGAUUUGUUGACUCACAAGCUCCGGGAUGAUCUCAAUAGUGCCAGUGGCACAAAAAACACACCCAGUACAAACUGUAAACUGCUUGGUAUUAGGAAGGGCACUAGUUGUAAAAACGAAACCAAAGUAGACCCUGGUGCAUAGUGCAGUCCUUCAAAUCAUUGGAUCCUUGUUAAACCAUCCAACUCAUGCAAGCAUGGAAUAUAGCCUUUAAAUGAUGAUGAUGCUGAUGGUGAUGAUUUGUGUCAGUUCACUGAGAAGUGCUAAAUCAAAGAACUCAGUAUGUAAAGGGUCCUAAUUUUCAGCAGUGUGAGUUUAAGGUUUCCACUAUUUCAGCUCAAAAUCUAAGCCUUUUUCCUUUGGAAUUAUCUGUUGCUUGAAUAUAUUUUUUGAAAUAUAUAUAUAUAUAUAUAUAUAUUCUUCAUCAUCAGUUUUUGAUGCUUACAGAUUUUCUAUGGCCAGAUGACCUUUCUGUUUCCAACCCUUACUUGUUUCCAAAGAAAGUAAUAUUUCUCCAUGGCCAGACACAUUUUUGCAGAAGAUAAGGGCUGUACAGGCCCUAUACAGAGAGGCCGUUAGUAAGGUUAGGAUUGGCAACGAGUAUAGUGAAGAAUUCCGGGUAGCAGUAGGGGUCCACCAAGGUUCAACUCUCAGUCCCCUUUUAUUCAUCAUAGUCCUCCAAGCAAUAACAGAGGAAUUCAAGAUGGGUUGGCCCUGGGAGCUCCUCUAUGCUACCAGAACUAGAAAUAAAAUUUCGGGUGUGGAAGCUAGGUUUAGAAUCAAAAGGCCUUAGAGUCAAUGUAGCAAAGACCAAAGUUAUAGUAAGUAGGAAGGCAAACUCAUCACACACCCACUCAGGUAGAUGUACCCAGUGUAAGCUAUGGACAAAUAAGAAGUGCAGCAACAUCAAAGGAAAACUAACUGAGAAGAUAACUUUCGUGUGCAGCAGAUGCACAGGGGCAAUAGACACCAUAGAUACUCAGAAAACAGAUUCUCCAGGGGGAGAAACUAGAAGUAGUUGAUAGCUUCCGCUACCUAGGUGACUAAGUUAGUAAUGGAGGUGGAUGCUCAGAGAGUGUCACCACUAGAAUAAGAAUAGCCUGGGCAAAGUUUAGAAAGCUUCUACCCCUACUGGCGACAAAGGGUCUCUCGCUCAGAGUGAAAGGUAGAUUGUAUGACCCAUGUGUGCGAACUGCCAUGCUUCACAGCAGUGAAACGUGGGCUGUGACUGCAGAGGAUAUGCGUAGGCUUGAAAGAAAUGAAGCUAGCAUGAUCCGCUGGAUGUGUAAUGUCAGUGUGCACAUACAACAGAGUGUAAGCGCCCUGAGAGAAAUGCUGGACAUAAGAAGCAUUGGAAGUGGCAGGCAAGAGAAACGUUUGCGCUGGUAUGGUCAUGUAUUAUGCCGUAAUCUCUUUUAGAGAGACUUAGUAAUUUUAAUAUUUCUAUUAUUGAAAACAAGUGGAUGUAUUCCACUGAAACUAGGUAAAUAAAACCUUCGAACAAAGACGAUCAGUGGCGACACCUGCUGGGUUGACUACGCUACAUUGACAAAGGGCAAAUACCCUGAAACGCGUCUGUAGCUGUCUGACUAGCAGUGUGAAGCGGCUGACCUCCCUUGUUCGAAGGUUAUAAUGGACACAGUUUGUGUGUCAAAUAGCUAUCUUAAGGCAAUGGCCUCAUGGAGCUAAUUAGCGACAGCUUUUAGUCUUAUAUCUAUAAGACUGCCAUAUUAAUAUGGCGAUAACAAUUAAUUUCCAGUAACGCUGCCGUAAUCUCUUUUAGAGAGACUUAGUAAUUUUAAUAUUUCUAUUAUAUAUAUAUGCUUCUAUAUAUAUAUAUAUAUAUAUAUAUAUAUAUAUAUACACACACACAUACAAAUGGUAUUUUUCUAGAUGCUCGGCACUGUUUUAAAUUGAUGUUACUUAAAUUAAUAUUCAAUUUAUCACCCUCAUUAUAUAUAUAUAAAUAUAUAUAUAUAUAAGCAUAUAUAUAUAUAUAUAUAUAUAUAUAUAUAUAUACAUAUACAUAUAUGCGUACAGGACAUCGCCAACAGAACAGUAAACAACAUGAAAUACGAAAAUAAAUGAGUUCAAUAUGAAAACAAUGAGAGAAACAAAUGGAAAACAGGACAAGUAGCACAAAGAAUGACCCUUCAUCAGUUGUCAACCCUCGUUCUGGUCUAACGACCCUCCAUGUUUGCUUUCGUUCAGUUUCCUUGUAUGUCUCCACUGUCCUGUUUUUGUUCCCAUCUUUGACCCUCCAUAAAUCCCAAAUUUUAUUUUGGUACUUAUGGGAGCAACUGUCUUUGAAGACUCACAUUGUCGUUCAGUGCUCGAAAUGAGGAGUAGAUAAACAGCCAACAACUGAUGAAGGGGUCAUUCUUUGUGUUACUUGUCCUGUUUUCCAUUUGUUUCUCUCAAUGUUUGCGUAUUGAACUCAUUUUUUUCGUAUUUCAUGUUGUUUACUGUCAGUGACAUCCUGUACCCAUAUAUGCAUAUAUGUAUAUAUAUAUAUAUAUAUAUAUAUGGUCAUCUCUAUAUAUAUAAACUGCAAAAUGUCUGUGUGUGUGUGUCCUUUAUACAAAUCCACAAUUUUUCAGUUAGAGGGCCCACACUUUUUAUGGUCAUUCAAAACCGUCCAAGGGUGGUCGUGCACAUCUUUAUAUUUCCCCAGUCACCCCGCAAAGCCAUUAAAUAAUCAAUAGAAGUGACUUUUUUGUGAAUUUUCUAUCCAAAACCCAAUCAAAAUGCCCGAAACAUGAUACGCCAAUUGAAUGCCAGCUAGCUUUAUGUGAUUGGUUGGAGAUUUGGACAGUACUCGCGUGUAUGUGUGCACGCACGCAGCUGUAUAUGCAUGCACUAGCACUAUGCUCUGGCGUUGCCGGGUCAUAGUGCUAGUUAUAUAUAUAGUCAUAUAUAUAGGAGCACUCUGUUGGUUACGACGACGAGGGUCCCAGCUGAUACGAUCAACAGAACAGCUUCCUUGUGAAAUUAAGGUGCAAGUGGCUGAGCAUUCCACAGACACGUGUACUCUUAACAUAGUUCGCAAGGAGAUCAGUGUGACACAGAGUGUGACAAGGUUGGCCCUUUUAUGAAAUACAGGUACUACUCAUUUUUGCCAGCUGAUUGAACUGGAGCAACGUGAAAUAAAGUGUCUUGCUCAAGGACAAAACGUGUCGCUGGGAAUCGAACUCACCACCUUACAGUCAUGAGCUGAAUGCCCUAACCACUAAGCCACAUGCCCUCAUAGUCAUUAUAUAUAUAUAUAUAGUCAUUAUAUAUAUAUAUAUAUAUAUAUAUAUAUAUAUAUAUAUAUAUAUAUAUAUAUAUAUAUAUAUAUAUAUAUAUAUAUAUAUAUAUAUAUAUAUAUAUAUAUAUAUAUAUAUAUAUAUAUGUAAAAAAAUACAAACUGGGACAAGAACACAAAACAUUUAGAAGACGAUACAAAAAACACGGACGGGACAUUCGAAGCCUUCAAUCUUCAGUCACGAACCGGAUCAUCCUUGCAAUUUUGGCUGAUUAAUCUUGAGAUUGCUCCGAUCUGGCCAACCCCAAGGAAAACCUAAGCUAAGCGCAUUAGAUUCCUUGAAAGAAAGCCUCGAAUGUAUACAAAAACAAGGACGGAAAAACGGACGAUGUUACGUGAAUAAGAAUACAAAAAUACAUAAAAACAAUAAUGAUAAUACGUAAAAACAAUAAUGAUAAUAAUAAUAACAAAAACAGGACAUCACAAGUGCAAAUGUGACCGUGUGCUCAAGAAGAUAUCUUCUCAGUUCAUAUGGUUUCAGGUUCAGUUCUAUUGCAUGUCAGUUUAGGCAAAUGUCUUCUGCUUUAGCCCCGGGAUGACUGACCAAAGCUUUAUGAGUGGCUUUACUAGGUGGAUGUGAAAUGAUGAUGAUGUUUUAUAUAUAUAUAUAUAUAUAUAUAUAUAUAUAUACAUAUGUAUAAAACAUCGUCAUCAUGCUCUGUUAUUUCUGUCUUGUGAUAAAGUCAUCAGACGAAAAUAUAUUCAGUUUCUCUUUUCCUUCCUUCCUUCCUUCCUUCCUUCCUUCCUUCCUUCCUUCCUUUUCUCUCUCUUUCUUUCUUUUUUUCCGUCUUUCCUUCCUUCCUUCCUUUCUUUCUUUCUUUCUUUCUUUCUUUCUUUCUUUCCUUCCUUCUUUCUUUCCUUCCGUCUUUCCUUCCUUCCUUCCUUCAUUCCUUCCUUUCUUUCCUUCUCUCUCUCUCUCUCUCACACACACACACACAUCUAUAUAUAUGUUAAUCUCUUAAUUCUAUUGAUUGUAUGUUGGUUGUGUACUUUUAUACAGUUUUGCAUCACAUACACACACACACACACACACACACACAUGCUGUGUUUAUUUAUCAGUAUUUUACAGUUCUUUUUUUUUACAUUCCAAUAUAGACAAAUCUUCCUCUGUCUCUCUGUUGCAUUCUUAUUUCUUCUCUCAUUCUCUCUCCCUAUUGUGUCCUCCAAUACUCAUCUAGCUGUCUGUUCGUCUGUCUGUCCUUCUGUUCAUCUCUAAGCCUUUGCUUCCUUCCUCAGCCUCCCUAGGUAUCAGUGCUUAUUUAUAUGUUUUACUUCUCGGUACCAUAACCUAAUUGGUUAUAGAAUCUCUCUUUCUAUCUUUCUGUCUCAAUUUCUAUCUGUGUGCCCCUAUCUCUCUCUCUCUCUCUCUCUCUCUCUCUCUCUCUCUCUCUCUCUCAUAAAGCAAAACACACACACACACACACACAUACUCAAUCACUCAAUAAGCUUAUUUGUAUUAGAAUUGCUUUAAAUGUGACACCAGCACUCACAACAAUGCUUCUUAUGUGGCACCUUGCUUUUAGGAUUUCAAUAUAUUUAUAUCUAUUAGAAUUGUUUUUAAUGUGGCACCAGCACCAGUGCUUUUUACAUGGCACCAGCACCCACACCAAUUUUUUUCAUGUGGCACCUUGCUUUUAGGAUUUCAAUUUGUUUAUAUUGAAGUGGCUAUGUGGUAAGUAGCUUGCUUACCAACCACAUGGUUCCGGGUUCAGUCCCACUGCGUGGCACCUUGGGCAAGUGUCUUCUACUAUAGCCUCGGGCUGACCAAAGCCUUGUGAGUGGAUUUGGUAGACGGAAACUGAAUAAAGCCCGUUGUAUAUAUGUAUGUUUGUGUGUUUGUGUGUCUGUGUUUGUCUGCCCAACAUCGCUUGACAACCGAUGCUGGUGUGUUUACGUCCCUGUCACUUAGGAGUUCGGCAAAAGAGAUCGAUAGAAUAAGUACUAGGCUUACAAAGAAUAAGUUCUGGGGUCGAUUUGCUCGACUAAAGGUGGUGCUCCAGCAUGGUCACAGUCAAAUGACUGAAGCAAGUAAAAGAGAGUAAAAGAGAAAGAGAGAGUAUCAGAAUUAAAUGCCUUGAUCCUUGUGUGUAUGUGUGUAUGCUUUAUUGAUGUGGUAUGUGUGUUGUUUAGCCCCUCAGGUUGACUCCGAUUAGACAACCCUAUAAUCAAAGGUGUGCAGCCAAUCAUGACCAUCCUGACUUUUUCUCAGCCAGUUUACCUCAGACUAAAUUUUUCAAGGUACCUUUAUUCAUUGCAGUACAGCAUGGUUUGAGGGAGAUUCAGUUGCCAUUUCCAGUAGAUGUUGAACAAUGUAGACGCUUUGUGUGUGAGUGUGUCUGCAUGUUGUGUUUGUAUGAGUGCCUGCAUGUUGUAUGUGUGUGUGUGUGUUGUGUGUGUGUGUCUAAGCUGUACUUAGUGUCACUGUUGCCAUUAUCUUGUAUCAGUCUAUGUCAUAUAGAUAAGCUUUAUCUUGAAAUACACAUGCAAACAUACACAUACAUUCAUCUAUACAGACAUGCACACACAAAUAUACACAUAUGCCUACACUUCUAUCUGUACACACACAUACGCUGACAUGCACAGACACCCACACAUUCCUACACUUCAAUGUACUCACAGAAACACUUACAUAUAUGCACAUACUUAUAUAGUUAAAAUUACAUGUUCAGUAGCCCUAUUGCUUAUAUAUAUAUAUAUAUAUAUAUAUAUAUACUCUCUUUUACUUGUUUCAGUCAUUUGACUGUGGCCAUGCUGGAGCACCGCCUUUAAUCGAGCAACUCGAACCCGGGACUUAUUCUUUGUAAGCCCAGUACUUAUUCUAUCGGUCUCUUUUGCUGAACCGUUAAGUUACGGGGACAUAAACACACUAGCAUAGGUUGUCAAGCAAUGCUAGGGGGACAAACACAGGCACACACGCAUAUAUAUAUAUAUAUAUAUAUACAUAUAUAUAUAUAUAUAUAUACACAUAUAUACGACGAGCUUCUUUCAGUUUCCGUCUACCAAAUCCACUCAGAAGGCUUUGGUCGGCCUGAGGCUAUAGUAGAAGACACUUGCCCAAGGUGCCACGCAGUGGGACUGAACCCGGAACCAUGUGGUUGGUAAGCAAGCUACUUACCACACAGCCACUCCUGUGCCUCUAUAUAUAUAUAUAUAUAUAUAUAUAUAUAUAUUUAUGCACAUACUUAUAUUACCUUUUAUUUCUGUUACCUGUUUCAGCUAGUGGUCUGUGCACAUACUGGGGCACUUCUUUGAAGGGCUUUAGUCGAACAAAUUAACCCCAGUACUAACUGUUUUAAACACUGGUAUUUAUUAAAUUGUUCUUUUUUGUUGAACUGCUAAGUUAUAGGGUUGUCAAGCUAGAGGACAAGCACAAAGGCACUCACACUCACUCAAUAAGCUUCUUUCUGUUUCCGUCUACCAAAACCACUUGCAAGGCUUUGGUUGGCCUGGGGUGAUAGUAGAAAACACUUGUUCAAGGUGCCCCAGAGUGGGACUGAACCCUGAACCAUAUUUUUGGGAAGCAAACUUCUUACUUCUUUACUGCCCACAAGGGGCUAUACACAGAGGGGACAAACAAAGACAGACAAACGGGUUAAGUCGAUUAUAUCAACCCCAGAGCGUAACUGGUACUUAUUUAAUCGACCCUGAAAGGAUGAAAGGCAAAGUCGACUUCAGCGGAAUUUGAACUCAGAACAUAGCGGCAGACGAAAUACUACUAAGUAUUUUGCCUGUCGUGCUAACGUUUCUGCCAGCUCGCUGCCUUGUGUGGUAAGCUAUCUUCUUGCCACACAACCGUACAUGUACCUAGUGCCAUAUCUAACAUUACAUUACCUGUAAUAGAAAAAUGUAGAAAACAACAUUUGAAAUUACACAAACCGCUCAGACUGUGACACAUCUUCUACCAGUAGAAUAUAAUGUGGAUCUUUUCCAGCACACCUCACUUGAAAUAUGAAUUCUACUUGUAAACCCACAGUUAAUAAGCUGGUAUUAAUUACAAAAAAAAACAUGUGGCUGUGUGGUAAGAAGCCAGCUUCCCAACCACAUAGUUUUGGGUUCAGUCCCACUGUAUGGCACCUUGUCUUCUACUAUAGCCUCGAGCUGAUCAAAGCCUUGUGAAUGCAUUUGGUAGAUGGAAACUGAAAGAAACCCAUUGUGUGUGUAUAACUAUGUGUGUGUGUGUGUGUGUGCGUGCGUGCGUGUGUAUUUGUCCCACGACCAUUGCUUGACAACUCUCUGGUAUGUCUCUCUCUCCUUGUGACAUCAGUUCAAUAGAAUCUCUCCAAUAGAAUAAGUACUAGGCUUACAAAGAAUAUAUUUCUUUACUGCCCACAAGUGGCUAAACAUAGAGGGGACAAACAAGGACAGACAAAGGGAUUAAGUCGAUUACAUCGACCCCGAAAGGAUGAAAGGCAAAGUUGACCUUGGCGGAAUUUGAACUCAGAAUGCCGCUAAACAUUUUGCCUGGUGUUCUAACGUUUCUGCCAGCUCGCUUACAAAGAAUAGAUCAUGGAGUCAAUUUCUUCAACUAAAACCCUUUAAUGUGGUGCUCCAGUAUGUCCACAUAUGAUUGAAACAAGUGAAAGAAUAAAAGAGAUGAAAAGAAUGCUGGAACUUUCUGUCUAUCUUCCUCUCUCUCUAAUUACUUUCCAAGAAGUUGCAUUCAGUGUACCGGUUUUUUUUCCUUCACUGUGGGUUAUCAGAUACAUUAACAGCUUACAAGAAAGAAAUAAAGGUUCUGAAUGUUUAUUUCUGCUGGUUUUUGUAUUGCUGUCUUGGAACUACUAUUGGACAUAUUUCUUUUUUCAGUUCUUUAUACACAAGCAUCUUUGGCAGUCGAUAUACUGAAAUUCUUUGAACUUGGCCAACUCAUUGUGGCCGUAAUCUUAACAUCUCAGUUCCAAUGAUGUUGUGUCUGAUCUGAUCAAGAAUUUCCUUGUUCGUAACAUCACGUUGCCACUGUAUACUGUAUACAUAAGAUAUUUGCAGCUUUGUCUGUUGGAAGUGUUCCAACCAUUUUUAUGUCAUUUUGCUAAGUAUUUCAAUUUCACAUCCAUACAAGAGAAUUGUGAGAACAACCACUUUGUAAAGUAUCGGUUUAGUUCAUGUCUUGAUUCUGUUGCAAGAGAUUACUUUUUUCCAGUUUCUCAAAGUUUUUACAUGCAAGAGGUGGGUCCAUAAUUUGAAAUUUCAACACUUUGGGCAGGUGUCUUCUACUAUGGCCUUGGACUAACCAAAGUCUUGUGAGUGGAUUUGGUAGAUAGAAACUGAAAGAAGCCCAUCAUGUAUAUAUAUAUAUAUAUACACAUGAUGGGCUUCUGACCGCAUGUGUAUCGUUGGCGAUUUUUCCCCCCCGUCUUCCCUUCCUUGGAUCUUUCCUUUCCCUAUGUUUCUGACGAAGAGCUUCGCUCGAAACGUUAAAUCCUCUUUCUUUCUUUCCUUUCUAUGAGCGUCCAAUAACACUAUACUUGUUCCACAUCCUCACGUUGUUGUGUUUUCUCUUUGUGUUUUCAUGUUUGGAUUAACUAUAUAUAUAUGUGUGUAUAUAUAUAUUUAUAUAUAUACUAGCAGUAUCGCCCGGCGUUGCUCGGGUUGUAAGGGAAAUAACUAUAUAAGCAUUUUUAGAGAGUUAUAGCCAAAAAAUAGCAAAAAAAUGCAUUAAAAAUUGAAAACAAAUUAAGGUAAUUUUUUUUAAAAAAUCGUUGACACAUCGUAGAUAUUUUUAGAGAGUUACUUCCCUUAUAUAAAAGCGAAAAAAAUGCAUUCAAAUGGAAAAAUAUGAUGGUAAAUUUUUUUUAAAUCGUAGACUCAUCGUAGACGCACGCUAAUACCCAGAAGGGCUCGAUAUGAAUCACGACUAUAAGAUACCCGCUUUUGGUUAAACUGCACGGCAAAAUGUGGGAGUAGUUACGAAUCUAAAUCGAAGGGGACAGACACACAACUUCACUCUUAUAUAAAGAUGCUUAUUUUUUUUCAGUCAUAGAGUUAGAUUUAUGAAGGUCUUCAGUAGAAAAUCCUUCGAAUUCUGACUCGCUGCUUGAUAUAAUGAAAUUCGUAUCCAUUUUUUGUCAGAAUUACAAAUUUUGAAAACACAAUAGGAACAAAUUUCGGAAAAAAAUCUCCCAUAAUUCACGGAAUUAAAAUUACACUUCGAUUUUUGUACAAAACUGUAUUUGAAGUGUUUACGAAGUAUAAUACAUGUUUUCACGAAUGUACUAAAGAGAUUUACUCUGAUAUUCUCAUUUAAAUAUGAAUAGGUAAAUUCGGGCGGUUUGGUAACGAAAGGGUUUAUAUAAGUGUCGUCUGUUUAUACAUAAACACUGUUUCAUACUUUCAGUUUAGUCUUGCUCAAAUCACUCUGUCGCUAAUUUACUCUCUUCCAAGAACAUUUUCACUCACUGUUAUCUGUUAGCUUCCCAUACAUUUUACUCAUGUAUCUAUCAGCGUGAUAGACAGAAACAAAUAUUACAUUUACUUUAAUUUUAUUCGUCGCACACUGUGUGUGUGCGUUUGCGUGUGGUGUAAACCAGACUAAGAAAAGCAUUUGACACACACACCAGAAUGUGAGUUUUCUGUAAAUUUUGCUUAAUUGGAGUUUAAAUUUUAAAAACUGGACCUGGCAUGACGCGAUGCAUUGUACUCUCAAAAAUGCUAGGUAAAUUGUAAUUGAAGAAAUGCUAUAUUGUAGAUUUGUAUAACUCCCAAAGGGAGGCAGAUAAAAUCUGCCUUUUAUAAUAAGAGAUAUAUAUAUAUAUAUAUAUAUAUAUAUAUAUAUAUAUAUAUAUUGAUAGAAUUGGCAAGACAACAAAAGAAUGAAGGAGACCUCGAUAUUAUGUAAAUGGAGGAACUUAUCUGUAAAUUUAAUAUGUGACAAUUUUUCGGUAGCCAUGAUAAAACUCUGAGUUUCAGAUGUCAGGGCGGAAACCCAUGCCGUGUGUGUGCAAACGUGCAUGCGGGUAUGUAUAUAUAUUUUUUGGCGAAUGUGUGGGUGAGCAUGUGUGUGUUUCAAGCGAGGGUGGAUGAGUAUAUACAUAUAGGCACAUGUACGUGGGUGUGCAGAUGCGCAUGUGUAUGUAUGGUCAUGCACGCUUAUGUGAUUACUAUGAACAUUUUUACUCCCUUAUCUUUAUUCUCUCCCAUUAUUUAGCGGUCAUUCAUAUAGCUCUUUUGUCUUAAUAACGGUCAAUCACACAGUAAUUUCCCUUUGUUUAACGGUCAUUUUCAUAGCAUUUUUUCGAUGGCCUGAUAACUGAAGAGAUGGUGGCGUGGGUUUCCGCCCCAGUAUCCGAAACUCGAUGUUUUAUCAUGGCUACCGAAUACUUGUCACAUAUUAUAUUUACAGAUAUAUAUAUAUAUAUUGUGGGUGCUUUUCACGUGUCACUGGCAUGGGAGCCAGUCAGGCGGCACUGGCCAUGUUCAGAUGGUGCUUUUUAUGUGCUACCGGCACAGGAGCAAGACAGGGCUGGCAUUGACCACAUUCAAAUGUUGCUUUUUAUGUGCCACCAGCAUGAGGAGUCACUCAGGCGGAACUGGCAAUGACCCAUGCAUGAAUGGUGCUUAUUUCGUGCCACCAGCAUAAGAACCAGUCAGGCGACACUAGCAUCAGCCAUGUCUGUGUAUGUGUGUCUUUGUCCCCUAUCACCACUUGACUACCUGUGUUGAUGUGUUUACAUCCCUGUAACUUCAUCAGACGUGACUGGAGCUGGCAGAACCGUUAGCAUUCUGGGCGAAAUGCGUAGCCGUAUUUCAUCUGCUGUUACGUUCUGAGUUCAAAUUCCGCCGAGGUCGACUUUGCCUUUCAUCCUUUCGGGGUCGAUAAAUUAAGUACCUGUAAUCGACUUAAUCCGUUUGUCUGUCCUUGUUUGUCCCCUCUGUGUUUAGCCCCUUGUGGGUAAUAAAGAAACAGAAUAAGUACUAGACAUCAAAAUAAGUCCUGGGGUUGAUUUGUUUGACUGAAACCCAUCAGUAUGCUCCAGUAUGGCCACAGUCAAAUGACUGAAACAAGUAAAAGAAGAAGAAUAUAACAUUCACAACAGGUGAAGCUACAUGUCAGUACCACAAUCCGGCUUUAAAUAAGAUGGGUUGCGGAAUGUGGUGUCAACAACUUUAACAAACAAACAAACAGAAACAAAUUAAUAAACAAAAUUUAAAAGAUAACAAAGAAGAAAAAAAUAUUAAUCCAAACGUCACGAGUUCAAUCUGAUACUGUUACUCUAUUAAUAGAUAGCUGUCACUUGGCACCUUGCUCUUCUAUCACUCACCUCCUGAAACUUCCUGGAGAGUUAAUCUAUCUAUAUAGCUAUCUAUCAAGUUUUAAGUGAAACAUCACCGCCACUACCACCUCCACCCCCUCUUCUUCCUCCUACUCCUCCUCUCUCCUUCCUCCUUCUCCCCUCCUACUCCUCCUCCUUCUCCCCUCCUACUCCUCCUUCUCCCCUCCUACUCCUCCUCUCUCCUUCCUCCUCCUCCUCUCUCCUUCCUCUUCCUCCUCUCUCCUUCCUCUUCCUCCUCUCUCCCUCCUUAUCCUCCAACCCUUCCCCUUCCCUUUCUUUGCCAUCCUCCUCCUCCUCCUCCCCUUCCCCUCCUCCUUCCCUUCCUCCUCCUCCUCCCCUUCCCCCUCCUCCUCCCCCUUCUCAGUAUAUAUCUAUCUUUCCCUUUAUCUUUAAAAAAAUUUUUUUUUUAAUUUUGUUUUACAUCAGAUAAGUUCUUUUGGUAAUGGGAAAUCUGUCAAAUUGACACAAAUCUGUGACUGAUUAGAGAAAGACAUGAAUGCAAAUGCAUUUGUUUCUGAUUUUGUAACAGCCAUUGUUUCACAACUGCAAUGUUUAAGCUAUUGGUUGUUAAACCCCAAGUCAGCCCUGGUUAAACAAAUCUAUAAUGAAAGGCAUUCCAGCUAUGACCAUCCCCAGCUUCAGUUGUCUGAUGUGGACUGCCAUUCUUUUGUUUCACAAUUGAAACAUUUAAGUUGUUGGUUGUUAAAACCCCAAGUCAGCCCUGGUCAAACCAGUGAAAUCGUUCUUUCUUUUAUUUUCUAAUAUACCUAUUUCUUUACUACCCACAAGGGGCUAAACACAGAGAGGACAAACAAGGACAGACAGACGGAUUAAGUCGAUUACAUCGACCCCAGUGCAUAACUGGUACUUAUUUAAUCGACCCCGAAAGGAUGAAAGGCAAAGUCGACCUCGGCGGAAUUUGAACUCAGAACAUAGCGGCAGACGAAAUACCGGUAAGCAUUUCGCCCGGUGUACUAACGUUUCUGCCAGCUCGCCGCCUUAAAUAUUCCUAACUGUACCAAGGAUCUCACACAGGGCCUUAGAAUCAACCUAGUAAAAACCAAAGUCUUAAUAAGUAGGAAGGCCGAAAAACCAAAAAUCCCUUCAGGUAGCUGAUCCUGCUUGAUCUGUAGAAAAGGUAUAGGUAGAAAUCCAUAAGAUGUACCCAGUGUAAGCUAUGGACGCAUAAGAGAUGCAGCAAUAUCAAAGGAAAGCUAACUGUGAAGAUUGUUUUUGUGUGUGGCAAAUGCUCAGGAGCAAUAAACACUCAAAAUGUGCAGAAAACAGCUUCCGAUGCCAGUACAGCUUUCGAUGCCAGUACCGCCUGACUGGCCCUUGUGCCAAUGGCACAUAAAAAAUACCCACUACACUCUUGGAGUGGUUGGCGUUUGGAAGGGCAUCCACCUGUAGAAACUUUGCCGGAUUGGAUUGGAGCCUGGUACAGCCUUCUGGCUUGCCAGCCCCCGGUCAAACCAUCCAACCCAUGCCAGCAUGGAAAGCAGACGUUAAGCAAUGAUGAUGAUAAUCAUCAUCAUCAUUAUCGUUUAAUGCCUGUUUUCCGGUGCUGGUACUACAUAAAAGGCAUGGGUGAUGCUGCCAUGUAAAAAAACCCACUAUAAAGUACUUGGCAUUAGGAAGGGCAUCCAGCUAUAGAAACCAAGCCAAAACAGACUAUGAAACCUAGUGCUCCCCUGACUUUGCCAGUUCCUGUCAAGUCAUCCAACUCAUGCCAACAUGGAAAACAGAUAUUAAAUCAUGGUAUAUAUGUAUAUAUGUUUGUGUUUAUCCGCCUUACCUCUAACAACUGGUGUUGGUUUGGUUUAUGGACUCAUAACUUAAUGACCAAUAAAUUGAAGCUUUCUGAUUUUCUUCUUUUUUUUCUUUCACUUAUUUGCUAUUCUAUUUCUUUUCAUAAAUCAGCAAAACCAGCCCUUGGCACCAGAAAAAUCAGCAGGCUUUUUCACCAUCGUAUUUACUUUAGCUUCAGAAAUUAUUUGUUUGGUCAUGUUAAUAUUAAGCCUUUGUUUCUUUGAGUUAGACACCUCCGCCUCCUCGCCCUUCUCCUCAUCCUCCUCGCCCUUCUCCUCAUCCUCCUCGCCCUUCUCCUCAUCCCCCUCGUCCUUCGUCCUCCUUCUCCUUGCCCCCUCCUCCUCCUCCUCCUCCUCCCCAUCCUCUUCGUUAUCCUCCUCCACUUCCUCCUCCUCUUCCUCUUCCUCGUCCUCCACCUCGUCCUUGUCCUCUUCCCCUUCCUUCUCCUGCCCCCCUCCUCCUCGUCGUCCUCCCCUUCCUUCUCCUUGCCCCCUCCUCCUCCUCCUUAUCCCCUUCCUUCUCCUUACCCCCUCUUCCUCCUCCUUGUUCUCCUCCUCCACCUCCCUCUUGUAUUUACUUUAGCUUCAGAAAUGAUUUGUUUUGUCAUAUUAACAUUAAACCUUAUUUAUAAUCUCCCAAGCCAUCAUAUCCUCUGCCAGUUCCAAGUUCCACCCAUCUAGCCUCUCUUUUAUAUGCAAACGAUGUGCUUUGAUUUUCACUGUUUGCUGAAAUUUUACCUUUUGCCUUUGCCAUUCAUGUAAUAGUUUUCUCAGUUGGAUGUUGGCCAAAAUGCCUUGCAGUAGCUCUGUUGCCAUUUCCUUGGCAAAUUGCGUAUGCAUGUCUUCUCUGUGACUCCAUUGUGUUUGUAGUAAUGGUGAUCUAAAAAUUCUAAAACCAUCAAUAGAAUGUGCUUAUGAAUUAAAACAAAUAUUGUACUGUAAGUUAAAACAGUUUUAUUAACGAGUUCUGUUUUACUUCUAUUCAACCAAAAAUAGAUUGUUUGUUUCUAGUAAUUUAAUAUUUCACGGUAAGUUAAAGUAUUAUGAAAGUGUCUAACCUCAACAGUUGCUGGCUUUAAGCUAAUGAAGUUUAGUGAGAUUGGUAUAUUCUUUUACUCUUUUACUUGUUUCAGUCAUUUGACUGUGGCCAUGCUGGAGCACCACCUUUAGUCGAGCAAAUUGACCCCAGGACUUAUUCUUUGUAAGCCUAGUACUUAUUCUAUCGGUCUCUUUUGCCAAACUGCUAAGAUACGGGGAUGUAAACACACCAGCAUCGGUUGUCAAGCGAUGUUGGGGUGACAAACACAUAAGCAUAUAUAUAUACAUAUAUACAAUGGGCUUCUUUUGGUUUCUGUCUACCAAAUCCACUCACAAGGCUUUGGUUGGCCCGAGGCUAUAGUAGGAGACACUUGCCCAAGGUGCUAUGCAGUGGGACUGAACCCGGAACCAUGUGGUUGGUAAGCAAGCUACUUACCACACAGCCACUCCUGCACCAAUUGUUAGUUUGCUUACAUUUAUAGUCAAACAUGGUCACUCAGAGGUGUAUCCUGGUUCUAAAGUUAGGGGAGUGAGCACAAAAAAACCCCCAAAAAGGCGCUGUGACACACAUCUCCCUUUUACUUAUUUCAGUCAUUUGACUGCGGCCAUGCUGGAGCACCGCCUUUAGUCGAGCAACUCGACCCUGGGACUUAUUCUUUGUAAGCCCAGUACUUAUUCUAUCGAUCUCUUUUGCUGAACCGCUAAGUGACGGGGACAUAAACACACCACCGUCGGUUGUCAAGCAAUGCUAGGGGGACAAACACAGACACACAAACAUACACACACACAUAUAUACGACGGGCUUCUUUCAGUUUCCAUCUACCAAAUCCACUCACAAGACUCUGGUCGGCCCGAGGCUAUAGAAGACACUUGCCCAAGGUGCCACACAGUGGGACCGAACCCGGAACCAUGUGGUUGGUAAACAAGCUACUUACCACACAGCCACUCCUACGCCUAUAUGAAACAAUUUUUUACUCACUUCUCUUAAGUGAUAUAUUUCAUCAGUUAUAAUAUACGUUAUUGUGUUCUACAUUCAUUAAUUUCCUGUUUCAGUAACAAUGCCAUUAUGUAUGGUGGAGGCGCAAUGGCCCAGUGGUUAGGGCAGUGGACUCGCGGUCAUAGGAUCACGGUUUCGAUUCCCAGACCGGGCGUUGUGAGUGUUUAUUGAGCGAAAACACCUAACGCUCCAUGAGGCUCCGGCAGGAGAUGGUGGUGAUCCCUGCUGUACUCUUUCACCACAACUUUCUCUCACUCUUACUUCCUGUUUCUGUUGUACCUGUAUUUCAAAGGGCCGGCCUUGUCACUCUCUGUGUCACGCUGAAUAUCCCCGAGAAUUACGUUAAGGGUACACGUGUCUGUGGAGUGCUCAGCCACUUACACGUUAAUUUCACGAGCAGGCUGUUCCGUUGAUUCGGAUCAACCGGAACCCUCGUCAUCGUAACCGACGGAGUGCUUCCAUCCAUUAUGUAUGAAACUUACAACUUCUGAUGUAGGUGUGACGAAGAUGAAACUCUACAGGAUUGUCCAGUGUCAAAAGUUCAUGAUGUCAGGUUUUAUUUUGGUUCUUGAGAUGUCAGUGGCCGUCAGCAUGUCACAGGAGGUUGAGUUGACAGUUCAAAAAUGCAGGAGAUUGAUCAACUAAAGUAAUGACUCCAGAUAGCUCUUCCUAUGCCGUCCAAUUAGCAGAACAAAAAAAAAAUAAUAAUAAUAAAAAUAGAUUUGACUUUUAUUGCACAAGUUAACUAAAGAGUUAAAAAAAAAUAAAUUGUCGAAAGGUUACCAAUUUUGAAAAAUGUGCUCACAGGGGCAAUUUCUCCCUUAUUAGCUAUCUCCUGAUUGAUGUCAUUUCAUAUGAAGUAACUGUUAUUCUUAUUCAUUGUUACCUUAGAAAAUACUAAUAGCUCUGAGAAGCAAUUUUGUGUGAUAGAUGACUGCAAUCCAUUAGCUCAUUUAAUAGGGUACUAGCAGUAUUGCCCGGCAUUGCUCAGGUUUAUUUCAACUCUUUAGAAUUGGAAUUUUUGAAAAGUAAAACUUUUGCUUUAUGUAGCUUGUUAUUCUCUUUAAGGGAACGUUUUUCUGCUUGAAAUACACCGAAAAAUGGUGACACAGCAGGCAAAAUAUCGUAAAAAAUAGGGAUUUUCAUAGAAAAAAAAAAGCACCUUUUUGAUGUAAAUAAUUUUUGGUGUUAACAUGGUCCGAUUUGAAUUUUAUCUUCUAUGGAAUGAAGAACAAGCCUUCUUGUAUCAUACUCUCAAUUUUGGUCAACUUGCGCUGCAGGGUCUCGGAGGAGAUAGUAUUAGUUGAAGGCUACCAAACCUGCCACACACAGACGACUUCAGCUUUAUAUAUAUAGAUUGCAAUGCCAGAACCCUGACAUUGUAUUUAUAAUAUUUUCUGGGAGAGAGUCUGUUUUGGCUUGGUAUCUACAGCUGGAUGUCCUCCUUAACACCAGCUACUUUACAGAGUAUAUUGGGUGCAUUUUUAACUGGCACCAGCACCAAUGCUUUUUAUGUGGAACCAUAAUUUUAGGAUCUCAAUUCAGCUGUGAUGGGUGGGUCUUCUUGAGUACAGCAAUGUUCCAUAUAUCUCAAAUCCUCUGUCAUCUCCUUCAAAGACCGAUGUUCAUUUAAAAACAUAAUAUCACACAUAGUUACCAACUGAGCCAAAGGUACAUGCUUAAUGCAAGAUCCUUAACACUUUCCCAUAUGACAAAUCCUGCAACAUAGCAGCUAAAUUUUGUGAGAUAGAAGUCACCUAUAGAACCCAGACUAGUAGAAAUGCAUAAACGUUUACAUUGGCAUGACAGAAAGAUCUCGCGAUUGUCAGUGUCAUGUAUGAUAGGCCUGUAGUGCACUGAUGAUACUUAAACAAACGUCUUCUUGAUUGAGCACAAGUUCUCCAGCUGCCUUGCCACUCUUGUCCAACCAGCUUGUGGAAUUGUCCAUUCAUUGCAUUCUUUACUUGCCUCUUGAACUACUACUGCCCUCUGGUCUUCCUUUCCUUCGAAUAUGGCCAUAAUAAACAAGCUCUUGUGUUUUCACACAAUGUUCAGGAGUUGUUAUCGUCUCUCACCUACUUGUAACACCCAUUCAUUUUGUCUGAUGAUCUUUGUGACUGAAAACAUUCUCCUAUACGUCCACACUCAUUUUACUCUUUUACUUGUUUCAGUCAUUUGACUGUGGCCAUGUAUAUUUGGUUGUAUAUUUUUUUUUAAAAACAGAUAAAACCAAAAAAUGGAAUAAAAAUCAUCACAAUACAAUGUUUAACCUUUUCAGUACCAACUCGGCUGAAACUGCCUCUGGCUCUGUAGUACAAAUAUCUUGUUUUCAAAAGUUUUGAAUUAAAAUCUUCCACCAAACCUUAGUCACAAUUUAUGUUCCUAACACUAGCUUAAUGAUAACUAAGUUAUUUUACUAAAUUCUUUGUUAUAUUUAGAAUUAAUUGAAAGAAACACAGAGCAUCUCAACAGAAAUAUGGCAACAAGAGAGUUAAAAACACCUGAGCUAGUCUAACAAAGACUUGAUGAACCAGUUAGGCAGCUUCUAUGUGGAUGGUUGGCCUGCUAGAUAUAGCAGCCAAAUCUUACUUGAAUCAUACCUACCUUAAAAAUAGGACUCAUUAGAUGAUAAGAUCCUGGUCAAAUGUUCAAACAAAAAAUAGAUGUCAACUUGACCAGUGCUGAAUUAGAACUAAUCAACAACAAUUCAUGAAAAUCUGAAGAAAUAAUUCUUUCUAUUGUGGCACAAGGGCCAAAAUUUUCUGGUAGGGGCCAGUCAGUUGCAUCAGCUGCAGUGCUCUAGUUGUACUUAUUUUAGCAACUCCUAAAAGAUGAAAGAUAAAUUUGACCUUGGCAGAAUUUGAAAGCAGAAUGUAAAUAUGGACAAAAUGUUGCUAAGCAUUUUGUCUGCUGUGCUAACUAUUCUGCCAGCUCAGUGCCCUAAUCUGAAGAAAUAAUGGAGAAGGCUAUAUAUGGUCACUAAACCUGCUAGAAAUAGCCGCAAAAUUUACCUCAAAUUAUACUUUAUCUUCUAUUUCAUAAUCCCCUCCCCCGUAAAAAUAAAACUGAAGAGCACAUUGGAUGAUGCUCUCUUGGAAUUGUGAGGCAUGAAAAAGAAUGGAUGGUCUUGGUUGGAAUGCCUUUGAUUUUAGGUUUGCUUCAUCUGAGCUGACUUACUGCUAUUCAACAACCACCACCAGGCAACCCAGUAAGAGAAGCUCUAGAAAUAGCUGCCAAAUCUCUUUUAAAUCUUGGUUGAUCUUAUUAAAAAUGAAUACACUAGGUAAUGUAGUCCAAGAUAUAAUCAUUUUGAUCUGCUCAAUCACAGCUCAUUAGUUUUAAGGUAUUCUAUUUGUCUAUAGAAUUAAGUUGGAUCUCCUGUCUUCUUCUUCUUCUUCUUCUUCUUCUUCUUCUUCUUCUUCUUCUUCUUCUUCUUCUUCUUCUUCUUCUUCUUCUUUUUUUCUCUUCUUCUUCUUCUUCUCCCUCUUCUUCUUUUUCUUCUUCUUCUUCUCCCUCUUCUUCUCUCUCUUCUUCUUCUUCUUCUUCUUCUUCUUCUUCUUCUUCUUUUUCUUCCUCUUCUUCUUCUUCUUCUUCUUCUUCUCCCUCUUCUUCUUCUUCUUCUUCUUCUUCUUCUCCCUCUUCUUCUUCUUCUUCCUCUUCUUCUUCUUCUUCUCCCUCUUCUUCUUUUUCUUCUUCUUCUCCCUCUUCUCCCUCUUCUCCCUCUUCUUCUCUCUCUUCUUCUUCUUUUUCUUCUUCUUCUUCUUCUUCUUCUUCUUCUUCUCCCUCUUCUUCUCUCUUCUUCUUCUUCUCCCUCUUCUUCUUCUUCUCCUCAGCAGUAUGGUAAGGAGCUUGCUUCCCAACUACAUGGUUGAGGGUCCGGUCCCACUGCGUGGCACAUUGGGCAAGUGUCUUCUACCAUAGUCUUGGGCUGACCAAAACCCUAUGAGUGGCUUUGGUAGAUGGAAACUGAAAGAAUCCCAUCAUAUAUGUUUGUGUGUGUUUUUGCCUCACCACCCAAACCACUUAACAACCAAUGCUGGUGUGUUUAUGUCCCUGUAACUUAGCAGUUUGGUAAAAGAGACCAAUAGAAUAAGUACCAGGCUUUAAAAAAAAAUUAGCACUGGGGUUGAUUCAUUGAACUAAAAAUACUUCAAGGUGGUGCCCCAGCAUGGCCGCAGUCUAAUGACUGAAACAAAAGAUGCAAGAAUUCUUCUUUUUCCUCUUCUUCUUCUCGGUUUUUGUUUUCUUCCUCUUCUCAUUUUUUUGCCUUCCUUUUCAAUCAUUUUUCUUCUUCUUCAGUCGUUUUUCUUUUUUGUUACUACCAUCCACAAACUAGUUGGAAUGUAGCUUGUCUUGUUUAUUGAAAAAUCCCAAUGUCUUUCUCCAUUUUUCCAUCCACAAUGAUAAGAUGGUAACAUAAAAGUGCCUGCUAUAACCAAAGACAGAAUAUGAACUUCUGACCUCUCAUUUAGUUUAGGAUUAGCUUGGUCAGGCUGCAACUUCUCCUGAUCUUCAUUUUUCAGACAAAAUAUAAGAAAAAUAAUGAAAGGAAAAGCAAGAAAACAGAGAAAAGAAACGGCAGAUGAUGAACACUCAAGAAAGGUCGGCUUGUAAAAAUCAGACACCAAUACACCAGAAGUUACAACAAUGGAGAACUGUUUGCUGUAGAAUUAUUAUACAUGGAGAUAAGAAGAAAUAAUUGAUUUAUUUUAUUUAGUUUUUGGUUGCUCUCUCUUUCUCUUUUGUCCGGAGAAAUACAGAUUUGAUUGGUUUCGGCAUAAUUAUUGCUAAGAGCUUUCUUCAGAUCUUUAGAUUUGUAGCCAAAUACAUACGUAUGAAUAUACAAUAUACAUGAUAUAUGUGUGUAAAUAUAUGUAUUUAUAUGUAUAUAUGUGUGUAUGUAUGUAUAACUAUAUGUGUGUGUGUAUGUAUGUAUAACUAUAUGUGUGUGUAUAUAUAUGUAUAUACACAUAUAUAUAUAAUAUAUGUAUGUAUAUAAAUUUAGAUCUAUAUUUAUGUAUAUGUAUGCAUGUAUUUAAAUAUAUGUAUGUAUAAAUAUAUGUAUAUAUGUAUAUAUACAUGUGUGUAUAAAUAUGUAUGUGUGUGUGUGUAUAUAUGUACAAAUAUAUGUGUGUGUAUAUAUAUAUAUGUAUGUAUGUACAAAUGUUUUAUAUAUGUAUAUAUAUGUAUGUAAGAACAAAUAUGUGUAUGUAAAUAUAUGUCUAUAUAUGUAUAUAUAUGUGUAUAUAUAUAUAUGCACAAAUAUGUAUAUAUAUACAUGUGUAUAUAUAUAUAUAUGCACAAAUAUGUAUAUAUAUACAUGUGUAUAUAUAUAUAUAUGUACAAAUAUGUGUAUAUAUAUACAUUUGUGUACAUAUAUAUAUAUAUGUACAAAUAUAUGUGUAUGUAUAUAUAUAUAUAUAUGUACAAGUGUGUAUGUGUGUGUAUAUAUAUAAGUAUGCAUAUGUGCACAUGUAUGUGAGUAUAUAUGUAUGUAUGUGCACAUAUAUAUAUACAUGUAGUUAUCUUGUAGAGAUCUGAGUACAGUAGAUUCUUUUCAGAUAAACAAGCAAAAUAUUUCUGUAGAAUUUAGUUUUCUUCAUGUAACGUGUGUGUAUGUUGUGUGUGUACGUGAGUGUGCGUGCAUACGCAGGUGUGUGCGUGAGUGUGCGAGUGCAUGCAUGAGUGUGUGUGUUUUAUGAUUAUAGCAUCAUGUGUUGAGAGCUCUUCCAUCAUUGCUUGUUCUUCUACUUCUUACUGUGAACCUUGCGCUGAAAGUGUUUUAUUGUAUUCCUGAAAGGUAUGUGUUUUUCUACAAAUAAAUCUGUCUGUGUGUCUGUGCUUCGGCAAAGUGCAUGUGUGCUUACAUGUUCGCAUGUGUAUUUAUGACUGUAUUCAUAUUUGUAUAUAGGCAUGUAUGUUUAUGCUUAUAUAUAUGUGUGUAUGUGUCUAUAUAUGUUUGUGUGUGUGUGUGUAUGUAUGUGUAUGCAUAUAUAUGUAUAUAUAUGUGUAUGUGUAUACAUAUAUAUGUGUGUGUGUAUGUGUAUACAGAUAUAUGUAUAUGUGUGUGUGUAUGUAUGUGUAUGCAUAUACAUAUGUGUGUGUGUAUGCAUAUAUAUGUGUGUGUAUGUGUAUGCAUAUAUAUGUAUAUGUGUGUGUAUGUAUCUGUAUGCAUAUAGAUGUAUAUAUAUGUGUGUGUGUAUCUGAAUGCAUAUAUAUGUAUAUAUAUGUAUUGUGUAUAUCUGUACAUGUAUGUAUAUGCCUAUAUAUGUAUAUAUGUGUGUGUGUAUAUGUAUAUAUGAAUGUAUAUAAAUAUGUAUGUAUAUAAAUGUGUAUAUAUGUAUGUAGGUAGGUAGGUAGGUUUUUCUUUGAGAUUUACACAUGUUGUUCUUCACAAACUUCAUAAUGGUCAUUAAUACAGAGACAAUACUUCUGUGUUCUAAGUCAAGACAGCCUCCAGGAAUUUGUGAAUAUGUGAGUUAGUUAAUAUGCACAUCUAUGAACGUGUAAGUGUGGAUAUACUUGCAUUCCUCUAAUGAGUGCACUUGCCUCUUUGCUACUUGACCAUGUGUGUGACUAAAUUUUGUGUCUGAGUGUAUAUCAUAUGCACAUACCUGAUAACACACACACACACAUACAUACACACACACACACACACACACACAUAUAUAUAUAUAUAUAUAUAUAUAUAUAUAUAAAAGAACAUAGUGUACGUACGCCGCUAUAUAUAUAUAUAAGAGAACAAAGUGUACGUACGCCGCUAUAUAUAUAUAUGUAUAUAUAUAUAUAUUUAUUUGUAUAUAUUUAUAUAUAUAUUUAUUUGUAUAUAUUUAUAUAUAAGGUGAGUUGGCAGAAUCAUUAGCAUAUUGGGCAAACACUUUGCAGUAUUUUGUCCAUCUUUUGAGUGCUGUAAUUGACAUAGCUACUUCUUAGCAAGAGUAUAAAAACUGCAUCCUUCUACCAAGCCGUGUGGAGUCUCUGUGGAAGAGUAGUAGGCUCAUCAAACCAGUGUGAUUGCAAGCUCAAAUCCAUGACCUGUACAUUAAACUGGUUGGUGGAGAAAACAUGCUGAAACCUUCAUCCUGCAGUGGGCUGAACAUGGGCAACCCACACAUGCAUGCACACAUGUGGGCGCGGCAGACUUUCACACAGUUUCCAUCUACCAAAUUCUAUCAUAAGGCAUUGACUGACUUGAGGUUAUAGUAGAAGACACUUGCUCAAUGUGCCACUCAGUGGGACUGAACCCAAAACUAUAUCAUCAUCAUCAUCAUUUAACGUCCGUUUUCCAUGCUAGCAUGGGUUAGAUGGUUUGACUGGGGUCUGGUAAGCCAUGGAGGCUGCACCAGGCUCCAGCCUGAUUUGGCAGUGUUUCUACAGCUGGAUGCCCUUCCUAAUGCCAACCACUCCGUGAGUGUAGUGGGUGUUUUUUACGUGCCACCGGCACAGGAGCCAGCGCAGGCUGGCAAACAGCCACAAUCGGUUGGUGCUUUUACGUGUCACCGAGACAGAAGCCAGUCAAGCGACGCUAGUAACUGCCACGAUCGGUUGGUGCUUUUACGUGUCACCAAGACGGACGCCAGUCAGGCAACGCUAGUAACUGCCACGAUCGGUUGGUGCUUUUAUGUGUCACCAAGACGGAUGCCAGUCAGGCAACGCUAGUAACUGCCACGAUCGGUUGGUGCUUUUACGUGUCACCAAGACGGAUGCCAGUCAGGCAACGCUAGUAACUGCCACGAUCGGUUGGUGCUUUUACGUGUCACCAAGACGGAUGCCAGUCAGGCAACGCUAGUAACUGCCACGCUCGAACGGUGCUUUUACCUGUCACCAGCACUGGUGUCUUAACUACAAUUACCAUUCGAAUUUAGUCGCAAAAUGAAAAUUGAGUUUUUUUUAACCAUGCAUUGGUGCCUACAUCCAUAAAUAUUUUAUGUCUCACUGUGUAGGGCAGCUGACCUUCUUGACUGUACAUAAUUUUUCCUUUCUAUCUCAAACAACUAUAUCAGAUCUGUUAUGUUUGCACUUGCUGGAAACUGCAUUGAGAAUGUUCUAUCAAUAUUCUUUGUGUUGUGUGUUGAUAGGUAUAAUAUUCAAUAAUAGGCACAGCUUUUUCUAUGGACAACACCGUGUAUUGUUUUAGUUACAAUGAUAUGCUCCAAUGGCAGAGAGUACCUUGAUAACAUUUUUGGAUAGCACUGAUAAAAUGUGUAAUAUCAGUAAUGUGAUGUAAUCGAUUUUCUUUAGUCAGAUCUUUGAGGUUGUAGGGUUUUACCAUCUCAUUUUACCAUCCCUCUGCUCCUGGAUUGCAAAUGUAUAACCUUCAAAAUGUUAAACUAAUACCAUUUUCAUGUAUUUUGUGAUUUUUGUUGUUAUUUUAGAUAUAAUUUUUACUAACUAUUCAUCUCUCUCUCUCUCUCUCUCUCUCUCUCUCACAAAUACACACACACACACACACACACUAUAGAAGCUACAUAUUUCUUAGAGUGGCUUCUCCCCUUGAAACUUGAUACCUGAUUUCUCAUGUAUUUUUAUGUUUUCGAUGUUGAUCUUUUUCAUCUUUGUAAAUGCUUUCCUAAAUAAACUUGCAUGAACUUCCUAAAUAUACUUGCAUUAGGUGAUGCACAAGCACUCAACUCUGAGUGCACAACUUCUAGCAGAAACAGCUUCAAGCUUAUGAAGUUGAUUAUAUAAUUCUUGAUCCCUAGACAUUUAACAUUUAAGUAUUUAAUUUCAUCGUAUAUAUAUAUAGGUGUAGGAGUGGGUGUGUGGUAAGUAGCUUGCUUAUGAACCACAUGGUUCUGGGUUCAGUCCCAUUGCGUGGCUCCUUGGGCAAGUAUCUUCUACUAUAGCCUCAGGCUAUAGUAGCCUGAGUGGCUUUGGUAGACAGAAACUGAAAGAAGCCUUUCGUAUAUAUGUGUAUAUAUAUAUAUAUAUGUGUGUGUGUGUGUGUGUGUGUGUGUAUAUGUUUGUGUGUCUGUGUUUGUGUCCCCCCCCCCCAAACAUCGCUUGACAACCGAUGCUGGUGUGUUUACAUCCCCGUAACUUAGCGCUUCGGCAAAAGAGACCGAUAGAAUAAAUACUAGGCUUACAAAGAAUAAGUCCUGGGGUCGAUUUGCUUGACAAAAGGCGGUGGUCCAGCAUGGCCACAGUCAAAUGACUGAAACAAGUAAAAGAGUAUAUAUAUAUAUAUAUAUAUAUAUAUAUAUAUAUAUAUAUAUAUACACACACACUCAGAUGCCAUGAUAGAUCGUUAGCCACUACACACAUUUUUUUUCUCUCCUUGUUUUCUGUGUCCCUUUCUGUAGAAGAGCAUAGGCUCGAAACGUAAAAGACUUUUUCUGUUCCUGAGCGUUAUACUAAUACAUCUAUAUGUUUUGUACACUACCUGUCUUCGUCUGUUGUUGUUUUUUUUCGUAAACUCUCCCUAUAUAUAUAUAUAUAUAUAUAUAUAUAUAUAUAUGUAUAUAUUCAAUGUGCCACUCAUAUAUAUAUAUAUAUAUAUAUAUAUAUAUAUAUAUAUUCAUUCAUUUGUUUUUAUGGCCAUUUUUCCAUACUGGAAAGAAUAUUUAUUUGAGGUAGUGUAAUGUAUUGGUGGGAUGCCUCUCUUGUUUCUAAUCCUUAUCUUUUUUCAAGUGAGAUAUUCUAUAAAUCAUCAAAAGCUCUGAGCUACAGGACAUAGUGUUUACAGGAAACGUGAACGCUAUGUCACCAUUUUUGGCUUGGGUGGUUUCAUAUGAAGGCAUAAAAUGCUAACAUUCACAUGCACACACACACACACACACUGCAGGCUUCCAUACAAUUUUCAUUUACCAAUUUUACUUGUAAGUGUUAGCCCAAAGAUAUAGCAAAAGAUACCUGUUCAAGUUAGCGUGUACACACAUGCAUACACACACGCAUACACACACGGAUAAGAAUCUAAAAAUUGGUUGUUUACGAAGCAAUCUCUGUAUCUACACAACCAUGCUUACCCUUACAUGUGUGUGUGUGUGUGUGUGUGUGUUUUAUGCUUCUGUAGUACUUUCUUUACAAUUCCUGUUCACACGUAUUCACCCCGGCCCCUUCGUCAAGGCAACAGCAAUCUAUCCAUGUUCAGAAACAAUGAACUGCACAGUCUAUUUCACUCUGCAGGUGUUCAAUAUCAUGCCAAUGGGGACCACCAUUUGGUAUUUUAGCAUUCAAUCUAUAGAAUAAUUAACUUUUGAUGUUUGUGUAUAUACAGCAGUAAGAAAAUUGAAGAAAUGGUGUUCUUCAACGCAAUAUUUGUCCUACACUGUGUUACAUACACUCCCUUGUUAACCACUUUAUUAGAAAAGCAGUAAAUUGGUAAAUUGAUACCCUAAGCAUGUGCUUAUUUUGCUUAAUGGUUUAAUCAGCGCUGCAUCAAACCCCACCUCCAUGCUCAACUGGUACUUGUUUUAUUGACCCAAGGAUGAAAGGCAAAGUUGACAUUGGUGGAAUUUAAGCUCUGAAUGUUCAGACAGAUAAAAUACCUAUUUCUUUUACUACCCACAAGGGGCUAAACACAGUGGGGACAAAGAAGGACAGACAAACGGAUUAAGUCGAUUACAUCAACCCCAGUGCAUAACUGGUACUUAUUUAAUCGACCCUGAAAGGAUGAAAGGCAAAGUCGAUCUCGGCGGAAUUUGAACUCAGAACAUAGCAGCAGACGAAAUACCUAUUUCUUUACUACCCACAAGGGGCUAAUCACAGAGAGGACAAACAAGGACAGACAAACGGAUUAAGUUGAUUAUAUCAACUCCAGUGCGUAGCUGGUACUCAUUUAAUCGACCCCGAAAGGAUGAAAGGCAAAGUUGACCUUGGCAGAAUUUGAACUCAGAAUGUAGCGGCAGACGAAAUACUGCUAAGCAUUUCGCCCGGUGUGCUAACGUUUCUGCCAGCUCGCCGCCUUAUAUAUAAAUACCAAAUAAAAUACCACCAAGCAUUUUGCUCAGCAUGGUAACAAUUUUGGCAGCUCACUGCCUUUGUGUAGAAGUAAUAAUGAUAAUAAUAUUGUUGAUGAAGAGUACAAUGAUGCAUAUUAUUAUGAUGAUGAUGAUAAACUUACGUCUCUUUUCUUUCUUUGCAGAUCUUGUUCUUAUGAAAUGAAACUUAACCAAUUAGAUGGCUCUACAUUGGAGAAAAAUACUAUUUUCUGCAGACAUGGAAUACCAAUGCCUUAAAUAUUCUCUGGAUG
rnacentral:lncRNA from 1 species